CAUGGCUCAGGAUGAACGCUGGCGGCGUGCUUAACACAUGCAAGUCGAACGAAGCGCAUUGUUUGAAUUCUUCGGAAGGAAGAUAAUGUGACUGAGUGGCGGACGGGUGAGUAACGCGUGGGUAACCUGCCAUGUACAGGGGGACAACAGUUGGAAACGGCUGCUAAUACCGCAUAAGCGCACGAGAUUGCAUGAUCUAGUGUGAAAAACUCCGGUGGUAUAUGAUGGACCCGCGUCUGAUUAGCUAGUUGGUAAGGUAACGGCUUACCAAGGCGACGAUCAGUAGCCGACCUGAGAGGGUGACCGGCCACAUUGGGACUGAGACACGGCCCAGACUCCUACGGGAGGCAGCAGUGGGGAAUAUUGCACAAUGGGCGAAAGCCUGAUGCAGCGACGCCGCGUGAACGAAGAAGUAUUUCGGUAUGUAAAGUUCUAUCAGCAGGGAAGAAGAAAUGACGGUACCUGACUAAGAAGCCCCGGCUAACUACGUGCCAGCAGCCGCGGUAAUACGUAGGGGGCAAGCGUUAUCCGGAUUUACUGGGUGUAAAGGGAGCGCAGGCGGCCCGGCAAGUCUGAUGUGAAAACCCAAGGCUCAACCAUGGGAUUGCAUUGGAAACUGUCGAGCUAGAGUAUCGGAGGGGUAAGUGGAAUUCCUAGUGUAGCGGUGAAAUGCGUAGAUAUUAGGAGGAACACCAGUGGCGAAGGCGGC
rnacentral:rRNA from 1 species